rfam:Triticum aestivum genome assembly, contig: Triticum_aestivum_CS42_TGACv1_scaffold_499691_6BL
AAUAUACUCCCUCCGUCCGGAAAUACUUGUUAGAGAAAUGGAUGUAUCUGAACGUAUUUUAGUUCUAGAUAUAUCUAUUUUUAUCCAUUUAUGCGACAAGUAAUUCCGAACAGAGGGAGUACAUA